UACAGAGGGUGCAAGCGUUGUUCGGAAUUAUUGGGCGUAAAGCGCGUGUAGGCGGCUUUGCAAGUCGGGUGUGAAAGCCCUGGGCUCAACCCAGGAAGUGCAUUCGAAACUGGCGGGCUUGAAUAUGGAAGAGGGUCGCGGAAUUCCCGGUGUAGAGGUGAAAUUCGUAGAUAUCGGGAGGAACACCAGUGGCGAAGGCGGCGACCUGGGCCAAUAUUGACGCUGAGGUGCGAAAGCGUGGGGAGCAAACAGG
rnacentral:rRNA from 1 species